CAAACAACGAGUUGUUCUAUAUUUUUGCGCACGACACCAGAUAACCGCCCUCUGACUACGAUUACGUCAUACAGUGCAAUUAUCAAACAACCAGCAGAUCGUAAACAGAUUAUCUCUAAUAAAUUCAUUUCGUUUUGCAGCGUCAUUUAGUCGAAAUUUGGUUUGACAGUACCAGCUCUGUUGAAUGUUCUGUGUUCACUAACAAAUUUCUAAUAGUAAUUUCAGUUUUAUUUUAUGUUGUGUUGCCACUCGUAUAUAAAAUAUAAUUUUACUAGGCUUCAACUAAAUUUUGAAGAUCAAGAUCUACAAUGGUAAACAUUCCAGAGAAUAUUAAUAAAAUUUGUGUUCAUACUGGAAAUAUACUGAAUUUAAAUGAAGUUAAGAAAAAUGCUGGGCAGAAUUCGUCAGAAGAGCUUGUGGAAAGUUUAAAAAUAGCAUUGAAAGGUUGGUCUCCACCCGCAGAAAAUAAUGGAACAUGUUUGGAAGUUAGAAGCAAUGAUGAAACUAUCAAAGUUUCUGGUGUAGAGCGAAGUGAGCUUCGGACGAGUGCCAAGGUUUUCAUCACAAGUGAUAAGAAAGAGGCACUUCAAGAGGCCAUUGAUAAAUUGUUUGCAUCGCUGGAGGCAGAUAAUAUAGACUCUGUAGUUAUGGCAUACACAGGCACCUCACAUGAGGCUAAUAACCGGCUAAGCGAGAUACAACACCUAUGGGAAGUGCUGGAGGCUAAUGUACAGAGUGGCAAGUUGAGCAGAAUAGGGAUUAGUGAUGUUGACACUGACUUGUUCAUCACAUUGUAUAACUCGGCAAAGACAAAGCCGAGUAUUGUACAGAUAAACCUUGCCAGCUGCUGUGUGGUGCCACCGGCUCUGCAAGAAUUCUGCAAACAGAAUGACAUUCAAUUGCUUACGCACAACGACCCACUUGACUUUUUGCCAUCAAAAAAAUUGCAUGCAGCUUUUGGUCUGAGCAAUGAUUCCAGCACUUUCACCUACAAGUGGAUAACUCGAUACUUGACUUUGCUGUGUUGUCGAGGUGUUAUUGCUGCCAAGGGGUACAUAUUAUCUGCUCAGCGGUCUUAACUUCAUUACUAUGCCAACUGUAGCUUAGGAAACAAUUACUGUCUUAGUCUAUUACUUAUGAAUGAAAUGAAAUAGAGCUUCUGCCAAAUCAAGCAUUACAGACCAUUCUUCAGCAAGAAAGCCAAUUGUCCCGGGUUGACUGGGCAGUCAGAUUCCAGAUCCAUGUUAAGUGCCGCGGUGUAUUGGCAACAAAGGGCUACAUUAUCUGCAUCAG
rnacentral:misc_RNA from 1 species